rnacentral:lncRNA from 1 species
GUAAAUACAAGAAUUAUAGUAACCAAGGGGCCUACCAAGGGGAGAAGGUAAGGGAGCCACCCAUUUAGCCCAGUCCAUAGAAGGCUUGAUUGCAGCUCAUUCUGACGGUUUUCAAGGUCCUCCUGUAACCUUUUAAUCUUAUCUUGAACAAUACCAGAGCAAUUUGCAUAGAAGCAGUGCUCCUCCUGUAGGAACAGGCAUAAUCCUCCCUCUUUGGCGGUAAGCAGGUUCAGGCCACAACGGUUUUGGAGGACUAUUGCAGCCAAGGAAUUGAGAUUGCAGGUCCAAGAUAGUGCCGGCAACAUGGUGCAUAUCAUCUUUCAUCUGCUGAGAAAGCUUAUUUUACAUCUGUAAAGAAGUACCAAGGCCAGCAAGACCAGUUCCUAUCCCGUGGCCACCCCCAGACCCAACAGCAAAGGAACAGCAUGAAUGACUCUUCGGGGCCUGGAAAGGGAAUAAUCAACAGCAGGUAUGGGCAGGGACUGGUUAUUAGGGAGGACCCCAAUGUUAGGGAGGAGGAGGACCACAAUGCAGAUCAAUCCAAUUACCCGGUAGGACACUGUACGCCAUAUCCCCACAGAAGAAGGCAGUACCAUUAGGAGGACAGAGCAUACCACCUACUGAUCAAAAAACCUAUUGCCUCCACACCAGAAGGGAUUCAACGUCCCCACAUCUUGAGUGCCAUUUCUAGUGAGACAGGUGACGUUAGGCAUGGUCACCAAGGGCAAAAAACUUCUGAGUGGGGUGGGAGUAUAGGGCAUCUACUAGUAAGAGGUGAGGUUAUAUUCCACCAAACGGGAAUGGCAGUAGCUUUUAAAGGUCCAUUCUUUCCCAGGGGGGGCAUAUAAGGACCAACAAAUUGGCUUACCACCGCUUCCAGGACACUGAUACCUGAAUGGGACUCCUCAGUGUGGCCCAUUCAGUAAGUUACACCCUUGUUAGUACAUUUAGAUGCUGAUUUAUAACAAGCAGUGUGGACCACGCCUGACUCGAAUGUUGUGCCCGGGCAUGUGGGGGGGCCUUGGGGUUAGAAGGAAGAACCAAUUGUUUGGGCCAGCAGAUGCUGUAGCCAAGAGCAGCGAGGUGACCUGAGCCAGCUUCAAAGACUUCAAGAUCGUGGAUUACAUAUGCCCCCCAUAAGCCAUUACCUCAAUCAUAUUUGGUCCCGUAGCAUCGACUAUUGAGAAGGGCCUUAGUGACACACUGCUUGCAGGGGGAGCCAAGGAUAUGAAGUACGGCAUCAAAGUGUGCCUCCCCAAAGCGCGUCUCCCCCAACAAACAUGAAUGCCAUGAGGGAGACAAUGAGGAGUCCCAUCACAACCAGGCAAAGCAUCCAGAAUGGUCUUUUCAUUACAAAUGAGAAAAUAAUCAUACCUCAAGAGGGGGUGCUCUUGGGUAAUCAUUUUUGUUCUGGUGAACAGUAUUUUAGAUCUCUAGUGGGUACCCAAAUUGGACUUGGCUCCCCAAUCGGGAAUACACACCCAAAUCCCCUCCCUGCACUAAUGAGGGGAUCAGGACCGCACCAUGAUCCAGUAAGGGGGUCCCUCCAUCGGACCUCUACUUUCAAAUAAGGUGUCUGAUUAGACCAAUGUCUCUGGAAAGCAGUUAGAGGUUGGUCUUUGCAAAAAAUUAAAAUAUUUAAGGUAGACUGGAGGAGGAAGCCCGCCCCCGGCCCCCACACCAAACCGGAGGAGGAAGCCUGGCCCGGCCCUGCGCGCCAGACCGGGGGAAGCCCAUCAACCCUUAAAACCCAUCAACCUGGGGCAUGGCUACCAGCAUGGUUAUGCGGCUGAUCCAGGUACCUGGUUUCCAACUCCCCUACCCUUAGCUGCAAUAACUCAGAAAUUUUCCCACAAGCUUUUGGGGGGUGUAGCUAUCAACGCAAAACAACAACUGUACAGGCACCUGGUUUCCAUCUCAGAGACUAGAGUAGGGAGGCUACAGGUGGAAGCUCAUAUCCUUUCACACUGGCUACAUCCACCAUCCUGAACACAGAAGCUCAAGCUAGGAAUAGACAAUGCUACCUACUGGAAGAAAGGAAAACAGAGUUCUGAGAGACUUUUUUUUUUUUUUUGUUAACUUCUCUCUCUUUCACAACCUCAACAUAUGUGAAAGAACUGUGCAUGAAAUAGGACUUUAAUAACUGAAUCACCAGAAUAAUAUAGAGGAAUUGCAUAUGCCCCACCUCCCCCCUUUUUUUCUUAUUUUCUUUUUCCCUCUCUUUUUUCUCUUUUCUUCCUUGCUAUUUUUUUCUUCAUUCUUACUCCCUCUAUCCCACUUUCAACCCCCUAACUUUUACUAUCUAUAUGUAGGGUAACUUUCUAAGUACAGAUAGGAGGUUGAAUCUAUACAUUCUUCCAUAAAUUACCAGUCUAUUGGUUAGAGUGCUCCAAAGUUGCUAAGUUAGAUUAACCUCAUACCCUCACUCCUUUCCUCCUAAGCAUAACACCCUACGUCUGAAAUUCAGUUUUUAUAUGCCACCAUAAAUGGUAUGCCUUUUAUGAAACUAAUGACUAUAUUUUUAAAUAAUAAUUGAAGCCAAUAUCCGUAGACUUAGAGUCUAACUAUAAAUGUAUUAAUAAUGAAAAUUUGUGCUUAGAUGAUGUACUAUUGAUAUUGGGAACUGUUAACAUUGUCUUUCUACACAAAAAGAGUUUUUGGAGCUAUACAAGAGCAAUAUAAAUAUAUAAGUGGAAAAUAAUUAACACAACAGUUUCACAAAGCUGGAAAGAACAUGAGCAGUAUGAAAAGAAAAGGAAAGAAAGGACCACAAACAAUGCAGGUGUGUUCAACAUUGGAAGAGGUAAUAUCUGCAGCAGAUGGAAUGUUAGAUAAAGAGUUCAGGAUAUACAUGCCUCAGAUGAUCUGGAGUCUCAAGGAAGACAUUUAGACAGCAAAAUCAGACAAUGAAAGAUCACUUUGACAAUGAAUUACAUAAAUAAAUCCAAGAAGCAAAAGAUCAACUCUACAGGGAGAUAGAGGUUAUUAAAAAAAAAACAAAACAAAACAGAAAUCCUGGAAAUGAAGGAAACAAUAAACCAAAUUAAAAACUCAAAUGAGAGUAUUACCAGCAGAGUAGAACACUUAGAAGAUAGAACAUCAGACAACGAAGACAAAGUAUUUCAACUUGAAAAGAAUAUAGACAGCUUAGUGAGAAUGUUAAUAAACCAUGAGCAGAACAUCCAAGAAAUAUGGGAUAACAUAAAGAGACCAAACUUAAGAGUUGAUGCGAUACAGGAGGAUAUAGAGGUCCAAACCAAAGGAAUGAGCAAUCUAUUCAAUGAAAUAAUACUAGAAAACUUCCCAAACUUGAAGAAUGAAACAAAUCCAAAUCCUAGAAGCCUACAGGAUGCCGAAUGUGCAAAAUCACAAAGAGAUUCACACCAAGACACAUUAUAAUGAAGAUGCCCAACAUCUUCAUUAGAUGAGAGAAUGUUAAAAGCCACAAGAGAAAGGAAGCAGAUUACAUUUAGGGGUAAACCUGUUGGGAGUUGCCCCGGCUCCAAAGACUAACUUCCCCAUCCCCCAAGAAGAGCCGUCCAAUGGUGAGCCCUGCUGGCUCACGUGAUCCUUACCCACCAAUCAGACUAGCCCUGCUGGCUCACAUGAUCCUGCCGUCCAAUGGUGAGCCCUGCUGGCUCACAUGAUCCUGCUGUCCAAUGGUGAGCCCUGCUGGCUCACAUGACCCUUACCCACCAAUCAGACUAGCCCUGCUGGCUCACAUGAUCCUUACCCACCAAUCAAAAAGCACUGUCAAACCCUUCAACCAUUAAACUGUCAUAACUGUCAAACCACUCCUGGCUCUAUAAAUAUGCAGAGCUGUUCCUCAAUAAACGGGCAUUUUCUCCAAUGGCAAGCCUUGAUCGUUCCUUCAAAACCAAUCAGGAUAACAGCUGAUCUUUCAACCCAGACUCUGAAAGCUAGAAGAUCCUGGAACAACAUAUUUCAAAUGCUGAAAGAAAAUGGGUUCCAACCAAGAAUCAUGUAUCCAGUGAAAUUAAGCUUCAGGAUUGAAGAUGAAAUACAAAUCUUCCGCCGUGAUAAACAAAAGUUAAAAGAAUUUGCAGCUAGAAAACCAGCGUUUCAAAACAUCCUUGGCAAAACAUUACAGGAAGAGGAAAUGAAAAAUAACAAUGAAAACCAACAGCGGGAGGUAGUAAAGGAAAAACUAAUCAAAGAGGAAAAACAAAUCAUGUUAAGUAACAUAAACAAAUAUGGCUGGAAGACAAACCAUAUCUCAAUAGCAACCCUAAAUGUUAAUGGCUUAAACGCACCAAUAAAAAUACAUAGGCUAAUAGACUGGAUUAAACAAAAAGAUCCAACAAUAUACUGCCUACAGGAGACUCAUCUGAUAGGAAAAGACAUACACAGACUGAAGAUGAAAGGUUGGGAAAAAUCAUACCAUUCACCUGGACCUCGGAAGCAAGCAGUGGUGUCCAUACUCAUAUCAAAUAAAAUAGACUUCAAGCCAAAGUUAAUCAACAGGGAUAAAGGAGGACACUACAUACUGCUCAAGGGAAUCAUACACCAAUGAGACUUAACAAUCAUUAAUAUAUAUGCCCCAAACAAUGGUGCAGCUACGUUCAUCAAAAAAACUCUUCUCAAGUUCAAGAGUCAAAUAGACCACAACACUAUAAUCAUGGGAGAUUUUAACCUCUCUCACCACUGGACAGAUCUUCCAAACAAAAGUUGAAUAAAGAAACUAUAGAGCUCGUAAUACAAUUAAUAACUUAGAGUUAAUUGACAUAUAUAGAAUAUACCACCCAACAUCAAGCGGAUACACAUUUUUACUCAGCAGCACAUGGAUCUUUCUCAAAAAUAGA